UUGUUUAUUUCUUAAUAUUUAUUAUUUGUGCUCUGAAAAUUCCACUAAAAUUUAUUUACACAUUUUAGACUUUUAGGAAAUAUACAAAAAUCCUCCAAGCCUUAUUUGACUUUUAACUUUGCACAUUUUAAUUGUUGGAGGCUUUCACACGGAUUUUAAUUAUUCUAGGCAUAAUUUAGAGGAUGUAUUUUAGAGUUGUUUUGGGACGUGACAAAGGUCAUCGAUCCGGAUAGAUUAGAAGCCCUUCAGAAUAAUGUGGUGCAAUGUCUUGUCAGUCUUGAGUUGAUAUUUUCACUUUCAUUUUUCAAUAUAAUGAUGCAUCUGCUUUGUCACCUUGUCAAAGAGAUCAGUAUUCUCGGGCCUGUGUACCUACACAACAUGUUUCCUUUCAAGAGGUACAUGGGCGUUCUGAAGAAGUAUGUUCGUAAUCGUGCUCGUCCAGAGGCAAGCAUCGCCAAGGGGUAUGGAACAGAGGAGGUCAUCGAAUUUUGCGUAGAAUUUAUUGAAGACCUUCGCCCAAUCGGGGUACCUGAAUCACGCCAUGAAGGGAGACUACGGGGAAAGGGAACUCUCGGAAGGAAAGCAAUAAUGACGGUAGACAACAAUUUAUUCCAUAAAGCCCAUUUCACGGUUCUGCAACAAUCUUCAUUGGUAGCUCCUUACAUCGAGGAGCACUUGGCUCUAGUUCGCGCCAGAAACAUUGGUAAGUCCGAUGCAUGGAUUACACGGCAUCACAUUGAUACUUUCCCCGCGUGGCUACGACAACAUCUCAUGGGUAACGAGACGAUCAACCAACAACUGGCCUUCCUGGCGAGGGGACCAUCUGGGUCGAUCGUGACACUCUAGGGAUAUGAGAUCAAUGGGUACACAUUCUACACGAGAGCCCAAGACAUGAAGAGCACAAACCAAAACAAUGUUGUUCGUAUCGAUGCCAUGGGACACAAUGGAACAACUGGCACGUAUUACGGUGCCAUCGAGGACAUAUGGGAACUUGACUAUGGUUCUCUCAAGGUCCCUCUGUUUCGGUGCCAAUGGGUUAGGUUGACUGGUGGAGCCGAAAUGAUUGAUGACAGUGGGAUGACAACGGUUGACCUUAACAAGGUUGGAUACUCGGACGAACCUUUUGUCCUUGCCAAUGAUGUAAUGCAAGUCUUUUACGUGAAGGACUUGUCUAGCAAAGGAAAGAAGGGCAGAGGGCCUGACGAGCCGAAGCGUCACGUGGUUCUCCCAGGCAAAAGAAAAAUCGUCGGAGUUGAGGACAAGACUGACGAGGAUUACGAUCAGUUUGAUGGGCAACCCCCUUUCAUGGUGACGAUUGACCCUAGCAUCCUCCUAUCAAAUAAAGACACCCCUUACUCAAGUAGCGAUCACAAGGAGGGAACAAUAGUGAGGAGAAAGUACGUGCGGUCAACCGUCACCGCCGAUGUAUUGCUAUAAUUAUUGUGUACACGAUGUAAACUAUUUUGGAUGUAUUGAUUAUCCAUAUAAAUCAAUUGUUGUAUGGCAUAUGUUAAUUACGUACGAUUAUUAGAGGUUUUAACCAUUUUAAAUCAUGUAAUUGCUAGUUAUAUGCGGUAAUUAGAAUUUUUAAAAGUUUUAAAUCAUGUAUGUGGCAUUUACAUAUGAUACUUAGAGUUUUUAACAAUUUUAAAUCAUGUAUAUGCUAGUUAUAUGCGAUAAUUAGAAUUUUUAAAAGUUUUAAGUCAUGCAUGUGGCAUUUACAUAUGUUACUUAGAGUUUUUAACAAUUUUAAAUCAUGCAUAUGCUAGUUAUAUGCGAUAAUUAGGAUUUUUAAAAGUUUUAAAUCAUGCAUGUGGCAUUUACAUAUGUUAAUUAGAGUUUUUAACAAUUAAUUUAAUAUCAUUCAUAUGCUAAAUAUAUAUGGCUAUUAGAAUUUUUAUUAAUUUUAAAUCAUAUAUUUGCUUAUUACGUUUUAUCCACUUAAUUUACUACAGACAACAAUAAUUUUUCGAAGUAAUUGUCAUUUAAUUUUCGACUUUAAAUAAUUUUAAUGCAUUAUUUUCUAUUUUAGAAACACAUAUGUAAUAGAAAUUAAUAUUCAGUGCGCUUAUUAGCAGUCCCGGUUCUUACCCCUAACCGGGUUUAAAGAGAAUUUAGAAAUAACGGGAAAAUAUCUUUAGUCCCGGUUGAUGAGAAUAACCGGGAGUAAAGAUAGAAAAUAUCUUUAGCGGGAAAAUAUCUUUAGCCAGCUGCCUCGUUGCCGACGCCGUCGCCGACGUCGUCGCGGCCGAACAUGACUCUGCCGCGCCGACGAUGCCGACCCCGACCUCGAUGCGGCCGGCACCGGCGACGACGUCGCACUGGCAGUGCCAAUGAAGCCGCGCCACGACGCCGUUGCGGCACGGCACCGCCGCCGUGCAACGCCGCCACCGCGCCACACCGAUGCCGCGCAGCCACGCCGCCGCCACGCAACGCGCCACGCCGAUGCCGCGCCGCCAUGCCGCCGUCGUGCCAAGCCGCAACCGCCCCGCCAUGCCGCCGCUCUGCUGCCGCCACACCGCCGCUCCGCUGCCGCCACGUGAAUGAAUGAACGAUCGUGAACGAGAACGAACGAACGAACAUGAAUGAGAACGUUGUCACACCCUGAAGUUUUCCCCCUUUUGCUUGCUUUAAAAAUUUGUUAAAUAAAUCGUCCGGAGAAAUUAUCUUAAUUAACCUAGAGCUAAAUCCCUAGUUAAUAAAUGCAAUUAAUAAUCGGAAAUAGUGUGGUGGAAUUUUUCUUGAGUUCCCCAUGCUCCAAUGCAUUAACAAGAAUUUUAGUGGAAUUUUUAGAGCCUUGGAAAUAAUUUUAACCAAUUAAAAAUCACCAAAGUGCAAUUUUAAAUCCCAGGAAAAAUCCUUUCUUCCUUUUCUUUUUCUUUUCCUUCUUUUUUCUCUAUUGGGCCGUCGGCCCACUCCCUCCCGCGCUCGGCCUCCCCUUGUGGGCCGGCCCGUUCUCCUUCCCCCUCUCUCCGGGACGUUGACAGGUAGGGCCCACCUGUCAGGUCGUCCCCUUCCUCCAGCCACCCGCCUCCGACGGCAACCGCCGCCGAAUCCGCCACGCCGCCGCCUCCUCCGCUCUUCCCGCGCCCACUCCGCGCCCGCACCCGCGUCCACGUCGCCGCCCACCUCCCCCACCUCUCCCCGCUCUCGCGCCCGCCCAAAAAUGGGCGGGAUUCGCAUUCGAAUCCACCUCUCUCUCUCUCCCUCCACUCCCCACAUCGCCGGCCAAAUAGGGGCCAUUCCCGGCCGUUUCCGCCCCUCCUUCGCCCAUAAAAACCUGCCCCCGAGUCCCCUCUCUCGUUUCACCCAUUUGCCGUCCCCUCCCGUGCCUUCUACCGAGCCCGCGCCGCUCGCCGCUAGCGCCGCCGCUUGCCGCUGCCUCCGGCCGCACGCUGUCGUCGCUAGAGCCGUCGCCUCGCCGCUCAAUCACCUCCGCCAGCUUCGCCGCCGCGAGAGCUACCUCGGCCGCCGCUUCGUUGCCGCGAAUCACCACCGGAGCUCCGAUUUCCCCGCGUCGCCGGUGUGCUCGCCAUUGUUUCCAUCUCCGGCCGGCCAUUUUGGUCGUCGCGGUCGUCCUCUCCAUCCCUAACUCCUCUCCUCACCUUCUUUAGGUGUUGCCACCGCCCAUCCGCCGCCCGUGUCGCCGGUCGUCGCCGCCGCCUUUGUUUCCCCGCGCCGGCCGCCACCGCCUCCUCGGUGAGGACCGGUCUCCCUCCCUUCCUCUCUCUCUCUUUGUCGCGACGCCCGCCGCUUAGCGCCGCCGCUGUCCGCCGCUCGCCGUCGUGCGCCGCCGCUCGCCGCCGGUGGCCGCGCCGAGCCGCCGCGCGCCAUGGCCGGGCCGGCCAUGCCGUGCCCGAGCGCCAUGCCCGGGCUGGCCUCGGUGCCGGCCGUCCCCAGCCGCCUGAUCGGCCCUCGGCCGAUCGUGGCCGUCCAUCCCGUGGCCCGCGUGGCCAGCCACGUGGUGCCACGUGGUACACCACCACCCCGGCCCCGUGGACCCGGUCCACGGCAGACCACCCCUUUGAGCCGCUGACCCGUGGGCCCCGCCUGUCGGCGCCGCCCCCUGGAUGACGUCAGCCCUGGGACUUAUUGCGCAAUAAAUACAUUAAGGCUUUUCUUUUAUAGUAAUAAACACAGUUUAUCUUCUAAAAUUCAUAAGUAAUUCAUCCGAGCUCCGUUUAAGUCCAUUCAAGUCUCAGUAAAUCAAGAAAAAUGCAAAGAAUCCAUUAAAAAUACUUUUGUUUCCUGUUUCAGUAGUCUUAUAGCAUGUUUUGCUUGUGUGCUUUGUUUGUCGCGUAGAUUUCGGCCGUUUCGUCGAUCCGCGGUUUCUCGAAGACGUUGCUGAGGUCUCAUCAGUGCAAGAGCAAGGCAAGUCAUGCAAUACGUUUGAUCAUAUUGUACCCAAUUUACAAAUAUCCCGCAUUUCUAUUAAAUGUUGCAUCCUUUUACAAUGUAAUGUGGGAUGGGUCCUAUUACUCAGCCAUUUAUUGUUUACCAUAUGCCAUUGAUAACUUGGGUAUUUAAAAUGACUAGAUGUUGGCUUAGGAAAUGCUUAGCCAUGCUUAGUUCAACUAGUACACAAAUGGGGAUCACUUUAUUACAUAGACUCUGUCUAUUGGCAUAACUUUAGAUUGGUGCCACCGCAAUGGUGUUAGUUAAUUAAAAUACACUGUAUGGUGGGCUGUGGGUGCAUGGUUUUGCUGGUCGCACCCAUGGCAGUUAAAGACCGGUUCACGGGAAACCCUGGGAGACCUACCGUGCUUACCACAAGCGGGAGUGGGUAACUGCUUGAUCUGAAGUAUAGCUCGACCCUUUCCUAGGCACCGGUGGCGAGGGUGGGCGUGAUGGAGUUGGGUCAGCCGGGGUGUCCGGUUGUCCAGCUGCCGGAUUCACCGCGGCGCAAGAGGGGACCGCCCACUGCCUUUUGAGGGGUGGGGGUGAAACCUUAGCGUGGUGUGGAUGGUUAGGGGAGGGUUAUGCGGAGGGUCUUGUCACGAUUUCCCCCUUUGCAGUAUCAUGGUGAUACUUUGGAGCAUGGCGACAUGUGUGGGAUCGUGUCUUGUGGGUACAGUUGUACACCUCUGGCCAGAGUAAAACUAUUCGAAUAGCCGUGCCCGCGGUUAUGGGCGAUCAACCAGAUUCACCGUGAUUAGUCUCACCCCUAGUCUAGCUUAAUGAACUGGUGUAGUUCAGGUGGUUGGUUGGGCCUGUUGCAACGUGGUGUAGCGUUGGACAGUGAUUGGUUAAUAUUGAUUAAUUACUACAGCUAUUUUACUGCUUUCAACUACUGCUUUGAAAUGUCUGCUUUAUGCAAAAGAACCCCUAGCUUCCUUUGGUUAUAUCCUGCAUCAUACCUCCUCUUCCGGUAUGACUUGCUGAGUACAGUGGGUAGUACUCAGUCUUGCUCUCUUUUCCCCCACACCAGAGUUGAAGUUUUUCUCAGUUGGAGAUGUCUUGAAGAGGUGGGUUUCGUCGCUGCCGUCAAGGGUUGCCUAUGGAAUGGAAUCGCCCGCUGCAGGAGUCAAGUCUUCAGGCUUAGCUCGCUUUUACCUUUUCCGCUGCAUUUGUAAUCCUUUAUGUUUUUGUAAGACGUGGAUCUGUAUGUCAACAAUUGUCGUUUGUGUACCCUGGCUGGUCCUGGACAGGGGUUUAAUACACAUUCAGCUUAGAAAUUCUGGUUCGUGAAUUUCUGGGCGUGACAAACGUGAAUGAACGAACGUGAACGAACGAACGAACGUAAACGAGAACGUGAACGUGAACGAACAAACAAACGUGAACGAGAAUGUGAACGUGAACGAACGAACGAACGUGAACGAGAACGUGAACGAACGUGAACGAGAACGUGAACGAACGAACGAACGUGAACGAACAUGAACAUGAACGAACGUGAACUUAACGUUGUAUUUGAACGUACAUAAACGAACGAACGUGCGUGAACGAAAAGUGAACUUAACAAGAACGCGAACAUUAUUUAACAUACGUUAACGUGAACGCACGUGAACGAACGAACGUAGGUGAAUGAAACGUGAACUUAACGAGAACGCGAACGUGAACGAUCAUGAACGAAACAUGAACUUAACGAGAACGCGAACGUGAAAUACAAUAUAUGUUACUUUGCGUUUAUCCUAAUACAUCUUUUUGUAUGUUGCAGAAAAGACGUUGUCGUCGUCGUCCCUCAAGUCGGAGUGGUAGCUAGCCCUCGAAGGAAUUCGCGCAGGCAAGUGAUGUAAAUAUAUGAUUGUUAGAUUUUUAAUGCAAUUAAGACUAUUAGAUUUAAUAUACGACACUUAGACUUAGCAUUAUAAUUAGAGUUUUAAUACAAUAUUAUUUGAGUUUUAAUAUAAGAUUAUUAUAGUUUUAAUAUAAGAUUAUUAGAUUUGUAAUUAGACUUAGCAUAUAAGAUUGUGUAGGGUUCUAAUAUACGACAGUUAGACUUAGCAUAUAUGACUAUUUGAGUUUUAGUAUAAGAUUAUUUGAGUUUUAAUAUAAGAUUAUUAGAUUUGUAAUUAGACUUAGCAUAUAAGAUUGUGUAGGGUUCUAAUAUACGACAGUUAAACUUAGCAUAUAUGACUAUUUGAGUUUUAAUAUAAGAUUAUUAUAGUUUUAAUAUAAGAUUAUUAGAUUUGUAAUUAGACUUAGCAUAUAAGAUUGUGUAGGGUUCUAAUAUACGAUAGUUAGACUUAGCAUAUAUGACUAUUUGAGUUUUAGUAUAAGAUUAUUUGAGUUUUAAUAUAAGAUUAUUAGAUUUGUAAUUAGACUUAGUAUAUAAUUAUUGACUAGGGUCCUAAUAUACGUCACUUAGACUUAGCAUAGUUGACUAUUACAGUUUUAAUACAAUAUUAUUUGAGUUUUAGUAUAAGAUUAUUAUAGUUUUAAUAUAAGAUUAUUAGAUUUGUAAUUAGACUUAGCAUAUACGACAGUUAGACUUAGCAUAUAUGACUUAGCAUAUAUGAUUGUUAGCAUAUAAGAUUGUUAAAGCAAAAAUGACCUAUAGACUUAGCAACUAUUUCUUGUAUGAACAGAUGGCUGAUCGCGAUGAGGAACAGAUAUUGUACGAUACAAUCGCGGAGGGAAGCAGCCAGUACUGGAACGAAGAAGAGGGGAACGAGGAUCCAAACCAGUACUUGAACGAGGAAGGGAACGUGGAGAGGGAUGCGGAGGGGAACCAGGAGGGGCACGUGGAGAGGGAUGUGGAGGGGAACCUGGAGGAGGAGGCUAGUGGAAGUCAACCCUCCGCAGGACAGAAGAGGGCACGCGGGCAACGAGGUGCCGUGAAGAAGCUUGAGGGUCGGCACAUCAUAACGGAAGUGGACGAAGACGGCCGACCUAGUGCCCCGGCGGAAGCAGCCAAGAACUACGUACGACACAGCGGUUGGGUUGUGCGGGAUAACAUGCCUGUUAGUACGGUGUACUAGCGCAGAACAAGGGCACUCGGAGAUCAUGAGAACUUUGUCCCAGAUUCGGAGAAAGAGAUGCUGUGGACAAUAAUGCUCGAGACAUUCACCCUUCCCACGGGUACAUAGGACAAAGUGAAAAGGUGGACUCUAAAGAAAAUGGCAGAACAGUUUCAAAGCUUCAAGGGAGAUCUGUACCAAAAAUAUAUCCUGAAGGGACAGACACCGAACUUCGACACAUUCCCAAAGCUAAGGGAUCACUGGGACGAGUUCGUUGCAUAUAAGACAAGUCAACAAGGGCAGGCGAUGUUGGAAAGAAACAAAGAAAAUGCCGCUAAGAAGAAGUACCAUCACCACUUGGGGUCAGGCGGCUAUAGCGUCGCGAUGCCGAAGUGGGAGGAGAUGGAGGCAAGCUUGCUUGAGAGGGGUAUCAAACCGGCCACUGCUAAAUGGCCAGAUCGAUCGAAGUUCUGGUACUAUGCUCACGGUGGAACGCUCAACCCAGUUGAUGGCUCCCUGGUCUUCAGCGAUCAGAUACGCGAGGCUGCGCGUCGACUAACGGACGCAGUGGAAGCCUCUUCUCAGGGCACGUUCCGACCUGACAGCGAGAAGGACGAGCUGUCACUCGCCCUGCAGACUCCAGAGCAUCCAGGACGAACACGAGGGAAAGGGGUGAUUCCUUGGAAGAUUGGGUUCAGGGAGGACAUCCACACGUACAGGAUUCGGAUGAGGAGCAAGAGAGAUACCGAGGCGAAGAUUGUAGAUCUUGAGUACAGGGUAUCGAGCUACGAGCUCAGCAUGCAAGAGGAGGUGGCAAGGAAGGUUGAUGAACGCAUGGCCGCACAUCGGUCCCAUGAUCCCCAGCCGACCAUUCCUCCUGCAAUGGUGAGCCCUUCAGGAAAUCGUAGCAGCUGCGCCUCAACGGGGCAGGUAGGAUCACAGAGCAUGGACGCCAUGCAAACCCAGGACGAAACCACCUGCCCCGUUGAUGACAUCACUCAGCGGAUACCAUGUGAGCUGCAUAUUCCCUUAAAGAACUUAUCAAUAAAGGUAAGCUCGUAGUUUAUAGAUUUUAGAUUUGUCCAUUCUGCAAGUUGCUGCUUAUAUAUGUUGAUUACUAAUAAACAACCUCUCACCACGUGAAGGUGGCGUCGGGCAUGGCCAUCCCAAUGGACCCUUCAGGUACUUACCACUGCAGGCCGAUUCCAGCAGGAUACUCCAAGGUCGAAGUUCAGUUGGUCGAAGGCGCGUACGAGGACCUCGAGUUGGAUUACCCUAGAGGAGACGGUGAGACGCAUCUACGAGACACAAGCCACGCCAUUAUACUAUGGCGCAAGUGGUACAUCAUCCUUCCUGGGCGACAAGCGGCGUCUCGUGCACCAUCUCCUCCGGCACUGCCAUCUCCUCCUCAUGCUCCUACACCGUCUCCUCCUCAUGCUCCAGCACCGUCUCCACCUCAGGCUCCUGCACCGACUCCUCCUCAGGCUCCUGCACCGACUCCUCCGCAAGCUCCUCGUCCGACACCUUCCAAGUCAAGGGCUCCCCAAGCUCCACCGACUGCCCCCACAAGGGCAACGAAGAAGGCGAAAGUUAACGCUGCCAAGAACAAGGACCUGGGGUACGAUUGCACGCAAGAUUAGCUUGACGCUUAUGUGGCAUCAGAAGUCAGGAGACAAUUGAAGCCUCGAAGUCCAGAAAAGAAGAUUCCUAUAGACCCGAGUGUCAGGAACUUCUUCAGGGGUAUGUCUGCACCUGCCAAGGAGGCCAUAAAGCUAUCGGACUAUGAGCGAACACUCAAGAAAGCAUCUUCUAGAAAGUCCAAACCAGUCCCUCAGCUUGGAGAGCAACCAAACCAGGAGAUCGAGCCGUUGGUGACCGGUGAAGAUUUUGGAAUACAAGAAUUUAUUAAUGACACCAAGCUAACUACGGAUCAAUUGCUACGAGGCGCACCAAUCGAAAAGGCGGAAGUGAAAUACAUGUACGAACUCGGUAAACCGCUUGUCAAGCCUGAGCAGUUGCAGUCCCUACCCACACAAAUGUACAAGUUCCAUCAACUGUACAUGGAGAUGAGCGCCACCGGUAGAGAGAUGAUCGGAGCGAGGAUCAGGGACACAGACUUCUUGCAAGGAGAUGACAUUCUCUGGAUCAAUUUCAAGGGUAUCUACGAACUAUACCAGCUGGACGCCCUCGACGUCUCUAUUAUGAGUUGCUGGAUUUUGUAAGUAUCGUUCAGUUAGAUUUCUUAUUACGUUUCCUUUAAUUAAUUAGGUCCUUGUAUAUAAGUAGACUAUAUAUAAUAUAUACUUCCUUUUAUCGUUGUAGAAUGGAGAUUCAAAGGGCCCGACGGUGGGGGGUUUUCGAUACUGGAUUCAUCGACCCUCAGAAAGUAAACGUCGCAAUGCUCGACCAGUAUCCGCAAGCCACAGAGGAAAAUCUCAUCCAUCUCCUGAAGGCGCAGCAUUACAAGACGUUCAUACUGUUGCCGUACAACACAGAGUUAGUUUAAUUUUACUGUCUUCCUAUACCAAAUUUCAUUCCCAUACGAACAUGCUAAGUGUUUCAUAUGUAAUGCAUCCCACGCACAUUGCAGAUUCCACUAGGUGCUGUUACUCUUCGACCUGGAGGCCUGCACCGUCAACAUAUAUGACUCAAUGGAUAAAAAAGAGUCUACGUUUGACAAGGUUUUCGAACUUAUAGACAGGUAUUGUCAUAAGUUCCUAUGUUAAUUAAGAAUCUUGUUAUAAUUAAUUGCUACUAAGAAUCAUAGCUUUAAACUCCAUGUAGGGCUUGGUAUCGGUUCCGUCAUUUGGUCCGCGGCAAAUGGAGAGAAAGACUUAUGCGGAAGUUCAAUUUUCCUGUGAGUACACAUGCUCUACAUUUAUAUUGAAUCUCCAAUUCAAAUACAUACAAGUGUAUAUUAAUUAGAUGUCUCGCCGUUUGUCAUUUAUUUAUAGUGCGCAAAGCAAAAGCAUGGAACUAACUUGUGUGGCUACUACGUGUGCGAGUAUUGCCACUGCCUUGCAAACCAAAUCAUCACCACAAGAGAGCUCGAUGUACGUACAAAUAAAUUCAAAUUUUCAUUACGUAUCGAUUUGUUGUUUAAUUACUAAUUAAUUUCAUACAUUCAUAUAGUUUAUUCGCAUGAGGGAUAACCUGAUCACACACAAGGAAUUUAUCGCGGCGGUUCAAGAACAACUCAUGGGAUUCAUCAACAAACAAAUCCUUGAUCCCAAGGGUGAAUUCUACUACGACGGAAAUACAAUUCAUAGGUCCUUAGCUUCUGAGAUAACGACUACUACUACGUCGAAAUCGUAGCUAGCUAGGACAUCAUAAUGGAUUGUAAUUAAUACAUGUCUAUUUUUCUAUAUGCAUGUGUACACAUUUUCUUUAAUGUAAAUAUAUAUUUUGGUCAUAUAUAUAUAUGCAAAAAAAAUGUUAAGUGCUUUCACAUAUAUAUAUAUAUAUAUAUAUAUAUAUAUAUAUAUUAUAUGCAUAUAUAUAUAUAUAUAAUAUAUUAUAUGCAUAUAUAUGUAUUGAAACAUAUAUAUGCAUGGUAUAUAUAAACCAUGCAGCAACAGGGCCAUGCAAAAAAAAAAGGUCAGCUCAAUCUUUAGUCCCGAUUGAUGGCUCAGCCGGCCACGUGGCUGAGCCAUCUUUAGUCCCGGUUAUUUUACCCGGGACUAAAGAUAGCGAUCUUUAGUCCCGGAUUGAUAGUCCUGGUUUAGAAACCGGGACUAAAGGGGGGUUACAAACCGGGACUACAAACGCUUUCUCCACCAGUGUAGAGAUCCUACCUUUUACCAUAAACUCCCUUUAAAUAGCAAGUUUUACGGUUAGGUCCUUUGCCCCAUCUCUACCGUUUAUUUUUAAUCCGAUGGCUUUGAAUCAAGUGGUGACACGUGGCAAAUUUUUAGAAGGGCUAACCAGAUUUAUAGGGCGCCAUGUGGCUCAAUAGGAAGCCAGAAGCUAUACCCUGAAUUCAGUUUUAGAGAUUGGAGUUUUAUAUAUGUAAUUAUACAAGCCAAGCAACAACCUUGCCAUAUGAAGUAGAGUGAAAGAAGAGUUGGUGUAUGUUAUAAUUUGUUAAUUAUUAAUUUUUAAUUUCGAAAUUAAAUUAACGAAGAGCCAUAUUGAGAAACCUAACUAAUGAUGCCUUCGCUUGAAAUUUAUUAUUUAAGAUUGCAAAAGAAAAUGCAUAUUUAAAUUAAGACAAAAGGAAGAAAAGCACCUAACCUGGUUUGCUCGCUAAAUUUGUAAAUUAAUCACAACUAUUCCUCCUGUUUUGCAUCCUUCAUUCACCCGCCUAUGACCAUAUUUUAAAAGAAAUCUUCCACGAUCACCUUGUCAUUGGUCUAUGCUAAUAUGCUUUGUAGAUUGCCAUGGCUUUGUUGCACGGGUUCUGCAGCAGAACUGCAUACAUGAUGCAAGCAUAUACCUGUCAUUAGAACCGUCACUUAAAUUAUAGAUGGUGGAAUGAUUAACGAAACAAUACUUCACUGUGCCGGCGUAGUGGCAGGAGAUUCGAACCGGGGGAUCACGAACGAGAUGUGGCCAUCUCAGCGGCCGCUCGCUCCUCACUGCACUGUUUCUGCAGCAGAUACUACUACUGCAAGAAUUCGCCGAGUUUGACGCCCGCGAUGAUCAUUGUCAGGUAGAUGCAUCGUCCAUGAAGUAUCGAUUUUGUUCAUCAACAUGACAACAUCUUAAUGGCCGCGUGCAUGAUCAUGAUGAAAAGCCACUGGAAACAAUUGAAACGACCGUGCGGACGGACUAAAGAUGAUGAAACACGAUAUGGAUUGGUCAACACACUUGUAUAUUAGAUGGGUUUUUGGAACACGUAUAUAAUAAAUUCGUUCUAAAUUAAAACCCAUAUAUAAAUACGUAUUAUAAUCUACGGAUCUUUCUAAUUAACGCGUGAGAGCUCCUAAAAGUGUCCAAUUAGUAUAGGUAUAGAUAGAUAGAUAGAUAGAUAGAUAGGUUAUAGAUAGAUAGAUUGUCCAUAUAGUUGAUGAGUAAAUUGUAUCGCGAAGGGCGGUAGUUACACAAGGACAAAGCGUGAUUCCUACUUUUAUUUAUGGUUAUCGUUCAUCACUAGAAAUUAAUUGCAAAACCCCGGCCAUCUACCGAUCAUGUUCUUUCUAUUUACUCAACCUCUUCAUCUUUGUUCCUGUUGCAAACGCACAAUCAAAAAGGCUACAGUAGACGGCAUGGCUUCACUUUUGACCAAUCAUCUACUGUUGGAGACAUGUUACGAGGAUUUUCGACCAGAACUGCCAAAACGAAUCAACGACCAUCGGGGCGAAGCAUAGCCAAGGCUCCGGGCAAAGCCGAAGCUCUUCGCUACCGAGUUGGCCAUCUUCGCCAAGACCUUGGAUGAUAUGCAGAUUCCUCGCUCCGAGCUAAAACCAAGCAAUGCGCCUUUUCAUGGAGUAAUUCCAGGAUUAUCCGCAACUCCACUCGGCCAGAUCACCCUCCCGGUCACUUUUGGCACUCGGGAAAACUUUCGCACAGAGAAUAUCAGCUUUGAAGUCGCCGAUUUCGAGACAGCAUACCAUGCCAUACUCGGACGCCCGGCGUUAGCCAAGUUCAUGGCCGUCCCGCAUUACACUUACAUGAUGAUGAAGAUGCCUGGUCCCCGAGGAGUCCUAUCCCUACGGAGUGACAUCAAGCAAGCCGUCACAUGCGACAAGGAGAGUUGCGACAUGGCCCAAACCCGCGAGAUGGCGUCUGCCCGAGAGGAUAUCCGACUGGCUGCAGCCACGGCGAGCGAAGGAGAAGUGCCCGCUACCAAGACUUCAAAAAGUGGAGAAAGCGAAGCCAAGACUAAGAAGAUUCCCCUAGAUCCCUCUGAUCCUACUAAAACUGCUGUAAUAGGCGCCGAGUUAGAUUGUAAAUAGGAAAGCGCGCUCAUCACCUUUCUUCAGAACAAUAAAGAUAUCUUUGCGUGGAAACCAUCUGAUAUGCCCGGUAUUCCUAGAGAGGUGAUUGAGCACUCCUUACAUGUCAAAGAAGAUGCCAAGCCUAUCAAACAACGACUCCGCCGAUUUGCACAAGACAGGAAAGAUGCGAUCAAGGAGGAAUUAACCAAGCUGUUAGCAGCAGGCUUCAUCAAAGAAGUCCUUCAUCCCGACUGGCUGGCAAACCCGGUUCUAGUUCGGAAGAAAACAGGGCAAUGGCGCAUGUGUGUCGACUAUACUGACCUCAACAAAUCUUGCCCUAAAGAUCCUUUUGGGUUGCCUCGCAUUGACCAGGUAGUUGACUCGACCGCCGGCUGUGAGCUUCUCAGUUUUUUGGAUUGCUACUCGGGGUAUCAUCAGAUCCGACUGAAAGAAUCCGACUGCUUGAAGACUUCAUUCAUCACGCCCUUCGGGGCAUACUGCUAUAUCACCAUGCCGUUCGGGCUGAAAAACGCAGGAGCAACCUAUCAACGUAUGAUCCAGAGAUGCUUCUCAACGCAGAUCGGCCGCAACGUUGAAGCCUAUGUGGAUGAUGUAGUCGUCAAGACCAAGCAAAAGGAUGAUUUGAUCUCGGAUCUGGAAGAAACCUUCGCGAGCAUCCGUGCUUUCAGGAUGAAAUUAAACCCUGAAAAGUGCACCUUCGGAGUACCGUCAGGGAAGCUGCUUGGUUUUAUGGUGUCUCAUAGAGGCAUCCAAGCCAACCCGGAGAAAGUUACUGCUAUCCUCAACAUGAAACCGCCAAGAACCCAGAAAGAUGUUCAGAAGCUGACUGGAUGCAUGGCGGCGCUCAGCCGAUUUGUUUCAAGACUUGGCGAGCGGGGGAUGCCCUUCUUUAAGCUACUAAAGAAAACAGAUGAUUUCCAGUGGGGACCUGAAGCACAGAAGGCCUUCGAAGAUUUCAAGAAACUCCUCACCGAGCCACCGGUCCUAGCCUCACCACACCCGCAGGAGCCGUUGUUGCUGUAUGUAUCAGCCACCUCCCAGGUUGUGAGCACUGUCUUGGUCGUUGAGCGUGAGGAAGAAGGCCAUGUCCAGAAAGUCCAGCGACCGAUUUAUUUUGUCAGCGAGGUCCUAGCCGACACCAAAACGAGGUACCCUCAGGUUCAGAAGCUGUUAUAUGGAAUUUUAAUCACUACCAGGAAGCUAUCUCACUACUUUCAAGGUCACCCGGUAACGGUGGUCACAUCAUUUCCACUCGGUGAUAUACUGCACAACCGCGAAGCAAACGGACGGAUUGCAAAGUGGGCUUUGGAGUUGAUGUCUUUGGACAUAUCAUUCAAACCCCGAAUUUCAAUCAAGUCCCAAGCGUUAGCUGAUUUUGUCGCCGAAUGGACCGAGUGCCAAGAGGAUACCCCCGCGGAAAAGAUGGAGCACUGGACCAUGCAUUUUGACGGGUCAAAAAGACUUUCGGGCACUGGAGCAGGAGUGGUUCUAAUUUCACCAACUGGAGAAAGAUUAAGCUAUGUACUUUGGAUACAUUUUUCGGCGUCCCACAACGUCGCCGAGUAUGAGGCCCUCCUUCAUGGACUGCGAAUUGCAAUUUCCCUAGGGAUAAAGCGUCUAAUAGUUCGAGGUGAUUCACAGCUAGUUGUCAACCAGGUUAUGAAAGAGUGGUCCUGCCUUGAUGACAAUAUGAUGACAUAUCGACAAGAGGUACGCAAAUUGGAAGACAAGUUCGAUGGACUCGAGCUCAGUCACGUUCUUCGACACAACAAUGAAGCUGCCGACAGACUUGCCAACUUUGGAUCCAAGCGCGAGGUGGCGCCCUCUGAUGUUUUCGUUGAACACCUUUAUACGCCGACAGUACCUCACAAAGAUGCUACUCAAGUUGCGGGCACUCAAGACGUAGCUAUGGUUGAAGCCGACUGGCGAGAGCCCCUCAUACGAUUUUUGACUUCUCAAGAACUCCCCCAAGACAAAGAUGAGGCCGAGCGGAUUUCAAGGCGGAGCAAACUUUAUGUUAUGCAUGAAGCUGAGUUGUACAAGAAAAGCCCUUCAGGGAUUCUGCAACGCUGCGUAUCUUUAGAGGAAGGGAGACAAUUGCUGCAAGAUAUACAUUCUGGGAUAUGCGGAAACCAUGCUGCUGCACGCACCAUUGUCGGCAAAGCUUACCGGCAGGGUUUUUUCUGGCCUACUGCAGUGUCCGACGCCGACAAAAUUGUGCGGACAUGUGAAGGUUGCCAAUUUUUCGCCAGACAAAUUCAUCUACCAGCUCAAGAGUUGCAGACUAUCCCGCUGUCUUGGCCGUUUGCGGUUUGGGGGCUUGACAUGGUUGGCCCGUUUAAAAAGGCAGUCGGCGGUUACACGCAUCUCUUUGUGGCUAUUGAUAAAUUUUCCAAGUGGAUUGAAGCUAAACCAGUUGUCACAAUCACAGCGGAUAACGCUCGAGACUUCUUCAUCAACAUUGUGCAUAGAUUCGGAGUGCCCAAUCGAAUCAUUACUGAUAAUGGCACACAAUUCACUGGCGGAGUUUUUAAGGACUUUUGUGAAGACUUUGGAAUUAAGAUUUGCUAUGCCUCAGUGGCGCAUCCUAUGAGCAAUGGACAGGUGGAGCGAGCCAAUGGUAUGAUACUUCAAGGGAUUAAAGCGCGUGUUUUUGACCGGCUAAAACCCUAUGCCGGCAAAUGGGUGCAACAGCUGCCAUCAGUACUUUGGUCUUUGCGAACUACACCCAGUCGGGCCACAGGCCAGUCACCUUUUUUCCUUGUCUAUGGGGCAGAAGCAAUGUUGCCAAGUGAAGUUGAAUUCGAGUCUUUGCGCUUUCGAAAUUUCCGUGAAGAUCGCUACGACGAGGACCGAGUGGAUGACUUGAACCGAUUGGAAGAAGUUCGUGAAGCAGCUUUGAUUCGGUCGGCUCGAUACUUACAAGGGUUGCGGCGUUAUCAUAAUCGCAAUGUUCGAUCCCGUGCCUUUUUAGUCGGCGACCUGGUUUUGAGGAAAAUUCAAACCACACGAGAUCGGCAUAAGUUAUCUCCUUUAUGGGAGGGGCCAUUUAUCAUCUCUGAAGUCACCCGGCCAGGUUCCUAUCGACUCAAGCGCGAAGACGGUACUCUCGUCGACAACUCUUGGAACAUUGAACAUCUUCGUCGUUUCUAUGCUUAAGCUUACCAUUGUAUCUCCCUAUCUUGACUGUCAACACCAAGUUUUCUUCUUGAAGUUGUCAGUCGGGGGCUAUUAUCAUAAUAAUGGAGUGUGAUUUCUUAUCAAUUUAAUUUGCUUACUUGGUUUAUCAUUGCCUUGUUUGGUUUUUUCUACUUAGUCUGCGAGGACUGAAAGUUUUUAAUAGCUUCUUUGGGUUUUAGGCUCAACAAAGCUUGACAAAAACUUUUAAGAAAUCAAAGAUUUGGCUAGAACUAUCAAGCACAGCAUAAAUACACCAGUAUUGUACAAAUUGAGCCUCCAUUUGUUACAUUCAUAUUCAGUCAGAAUCAGUCCUUUCAUCAUCAGAAUUAUUACUACUUGGCUGAAGGUCGUUGUUACGGAAUUGAUAUACAAUGUCACUUGCAAUUUUGUCAGCCGCAUUCUGAGCAUUGCUGAUAAGAUCAAGGGCGGCCUCCUCGCUUGUCCCGUCUGCAAAGCCAUCAAUGGAGUCAAUUUCAAUUCUCGGGUACAAGGAUUUGGUCAUUGCCAAUGCCAUGCUAGCUCCCAUACUUCCAGCUUUCUUGAUGUUCUUGAAGUACACAUCCGGUGCAACUCUUAGCUUGUCAAAGAUCUCGGUUGCGUCAAGUGCACUCGGACCACUGUUAUUAAGAAACAUAGCUUGGACAAGUGGUGUAGCGACAUUGGCGACUUCAUCUCUUGCUCCUUCAAGCCUCUUGAUCUUACCAACCAGGACGUCAAACUGAGCUUGGGAUUUGAUCUUGCGGUCUGCAAAACACAUUCAUGAUAAGAAUUUGUUGCAUUAAAAAGAGAUAAGUUCAGAUCGUCAGCUGGCAGUACCUUCAACCUCCUUCAAGGCCGAGUCCCUUUCUGCAGCUAGUUCUGCCUUGUCUUUUCUCAAGGCUUCAAUUUGCUUCUCCAUUUGAGCCAUCCUGGCGGCUUGCGCUGUUUGAGAUUCAAAUGGUUGAGGAUACGGUUAUGACGGCCUGAAUCAAUGGGACAGAUCUAGAGAUUACCUUUUGAUGAACCACUCAGCUCGUAGUUUGAAUCCUGGAGCUGAGCGAUUCGUUCCCUUAAUUCCUUCUCCGUUUUCUUGGCAUGCUCCUUGGCCUCGUGUAGCUGGCUCCUAACGGCUUCAAGAGUUCCCAAAUGAGGAACCAGCUUUUCUAAGGUUGUGGUCUUGGCCUCAUUGCGAAGAUGGAUUCUCUGCACGGUGGUUCAUGGAUUAGUUUUGCUAACGAGAAAACAAAGUCAUCAAAGGCAGUCACCUAGAAGACUUACAUUCACAAUGCGAGUAGCUUCUCCAAGUACUUUCUUCAGCUGGCACACUUCCUCAUCUUCUUUUUGGCGAUUUAUGACAAUGCCGGAAACUUGAGAGUUCUCGUCCCAUCAUUUGAGUAAGAUAGGAGGACGAGAGUCAUCAGCUGCCCUUAUGCGGAGGAUUUCUUCUUCGUCGCCGCCUAGUGGACCUGAUGUAUUCCCAAGACAUUAGACGAACAAGCUGGAGUUAUUCAGAACGGCAUCACUUGAGAAGAUGAGUUACCUGAGGAUGUGCCUGGCUGAGCGUGAGGUGAUCCUUGCUCUUUAUCUGGAGACCCAAUCACUGAGUCAUUACCAACUUCUGGUCCUUGAGAAGUUGUCUGCGCUUCAGCUUCAGGAAUCUCUUGAUUUAGAUCUACAUCCGACUGGUUUCCAGUCGGGGGCUCUCGGGUUGUUGCAGUUUCAGUUGCUGCCGACUGGUUUCCAGUCGGCGGCUGAUCACUCGGAUUGGCCUUGUCGUCCGAAGCUUGGGCGCCAGUCGGCUGACUUUCGGCAGUCGGUUGGCUUUCGGCAGUCGGCUGGCUUUCGGCAGUCGGCUCAGCAUCUUUGGAUAAAUUUGGCUCUGUGGCAGCUGGAUCAGGUUCUUUUCCAGUUGGAUCUAUAUCGGACGGUUUCCUGCAAAGUGUCCUUUCGAUAUUCAGCGUAAUUUCUAUGAGAGAAGCAUGCCGAAAUAAAAUGGUACCGAGAGGUUUAUACCUGGAAGAUGUUCUAAUCUUUGGCAUUUGACGGCCAGCCAGUUUUUUCCUGGGCAUGGUAUGCUUUGGGGGUUUAUUGGGCGUUCCUUUGUCCCCAGAUUUGUUGCUGUCAUCGCCUUCGUCGUCAUUAAGUACCAGCUUUCUCUUGCGAGAACCUGUCUGCCCAGCCGGUUUGGAGGUUUGAGGUUGCGGGUCUGACCUGAUUGUCGGUCCUCCACUUCCCUGAAUGGUGUGCUGGCGAGGAGAUCGGCGCUGAGCAAUUGGGGGAUCAGAUUUCAUCAAUACGUGCUCCUGAAUGAGAUGUUUCCACGGUUAAUUAAUUCGACAUGGAGACAAGAUUAUGUUUUGAUCAUGGGUUGCCGAUUUCUGAUACGUACCUGCGGAGGUGGAUUGAAUGCGUUGUAUGGUACAACUGGCAGUUGGUGUGAGUAGCUGACGACAAUGGCGUUCGAGAAUAUCUUGUACAUCCUCUCCUUCAUGAUCUUAAAGUCCAGAGAAUCUGGGUCUUCACGGUUUGGAUCAUGUUUGCCGUCAAACUCAAAUGCUGUGCGGGAUCUCUCUUUGAUUGGAGCUAAUCGGCACUUAAUGAAAUGCCGAGUGAUUUGUUCUCCCUGUAAGCCUUGCUCUUUGAGCUUCAGCAUGCGUUCCAUCAGUUCUAAGGCCUGGGCAGCUUCAUCUCCCAUGGGAAGAGAGUUCCAGGUAUCUUGGUAUACUGGGGGAAGACAGGAGCACUCAGGAAGAGCGGGCUCGGGAUUUUGAAUAUAAAACCAGUUGGCGUGCCAUCCUUUGUUUGAAGUCUUGAAAGGCAUAGAGAAAUACUUCUGGCUCAGAGUGCCCCUUAGUUGAAAUCCAGCCCCACCAACUACGCAUGGUUUGUUUUUGUUCGGUUGAGGCUUAAGGAAAAAGAUUCGGCGGAACAGAGCAAAAUGAGGUCUAAUGCCCAAAAAAGCUUCACAGACAUGGACGAAAUUUGCAAUAUGGACUAUGGAGUUCGGAUUCAAAUGAUGUACGCUGAUUCCAUAGAAAUUCAGUAUCCCACGGAAGAACGUUGAGGUUGGAAGAGCAAAUCCACCAUAAAAGAAAUGAGAGAAGACCACGACCUCAUGUGUAUCGGGGGUCGGAAAAGCCUCACCGCACGCUGGCCGCCACCCGAUGAUCUCCUUGGCAGGGAGAACGCCGUGCGCCACCAUCUCCUUCAGGUUCUCCUCCGUCACGUCGGACGGCGCCCAUUGGCCUUCGAAGUUUUCUUUCUCUUCCGCCAUCGAUUUUCCCCGAAUGCGCUGAUUUGAUUCGAGGGAUGGCUUGGGAGAGGUGAGGAAUUGAGGCGGUGGAUCACGGGAAGGAUUUUGAUCACUUUUUGAAGGUGGAUUUGAGUGGAAUGGUGAACCCUAGUUUGCCGGCGCAGCUCUGUACUGUAGCAAGGAGUGGGGAAAAUGGCGAGAGUUCCGGCGGGGAAGACGAAGCGUCGUUUGGAUCUCGGGUUUUCUUGUUAAGGGUAUCGGAGGUGAGAAUGGGCCUAGGCCUGAACAGUACCUCAGCCCAAUACUUUUAACAGCGUGGCCCAUUGUGUUCCUUAGGGACUUAGGCAUUCUUUGCUUUGGCAAUUUAUGUACACAAUAGUGUUGCCCAAUGCUGAUAAAAUCCUUUUUACGCGGUCAUAUAAUUCUUUGGAAUUAUUGCGAUGCAAAUUAAAAGGUGCCCGACAGAAAGGCGUUAUGCUGUUUUUGUACGCUUUUUUAGGCUACAAAAGCUGUCUGGGUUAACUUGGAAUGACUUGUUUUUAUCAUAGUCAUUUCCUCGGUAUGUUAUAUGCCUGUUUUCAUUAUGGUAAAUAGUCAUAGCCUAGGCUAUUAGACUUAUUCAUUACCAUGAUUUUUAUGAUAUUUGGUGGGUAAUCUUUAGAGUCUUAUAUUCGGAUGCCUGUCAAGUGUGUUCAUUCGUGAACUUUUUAGAGUGUUAACCACUCGGAUUCCUUUUAUUGUGACUAAAAAGCAGUCGGCUAGAAUGCCUCUUUGGGUGCCGCGUAUGCUUUUGUCAUAUGAUGCAUGAUUGUGCUAUUAUUUUGUUCUCAACUAUAUGUUUAGUUUGUUGACUAAUCACAUAGUUGGGGGCUAUACCUAAUUAGGUGCAUCUAUUCGAUGCACCAUAUUCUUUAUCUUUUCGCCCUUUACAGUCUUCGUCUUCACUACUCGGCAGGCCUUGGCAUGAAAAGUUUGAAGCACUCGGAUUAUUGUCUUUGAGCAGGCUAUGAUGGUUGACUGCAAAGGUCUCGGGGGCUACUGUGGAGAUUAUGGAUAUCCCAUAUCUACACGGCGAUGAUAUUUGGGCUGAAUAUAGGAUACCGAAUAUAGAUAGAAUAUUUUAUGUGUAUCUCGGGUUUGUUUCUCAACUUGUGCAUCAAGGAAAUACCCUGAGACUUAGUCGGUCACGACUGUAUUUGAUCUGUAUCUGUGUAUUCCGUUAAGGAUAUAGAUUAUCUUUUGUAACCUGGACUCCUUCCCAUAUAUAAGGGGGGUCCGGGCGCCUCUAGGGGCAUAUGUUGAUUUUCCCAAAUCAUACAAUCAAUAAUACACUCGGCGGAUUCAUCCCCGGACAGGAGUAGGGUGUUACUUCUUUUAUAAGAAGGCCUGAACCUGUAUAAAUCCUUUGUCUCCAAACCCAUACACUUUUCCAGCUUGAUAGCCACCCCCUUUUAUUAUUGCCGAAAUCUAGUUUCGACAGUUACCGAGUUGGCGCUCGGUCACUUGGGGGAGGGGGAAAAAUCAGGCGCUCCCCCCCUCCCGACGCGCACGUACCCCUGCUAGCGUGUACAUCUCAGAGCUCGCCUAGCCGCUCAGUUUCUUGAAGAGCCUGACGACCUUGUGCUUGCUAGUGGCCCCAUCGAAGGCAAGCCCAGCGCUGGACCACUCGAAUGGGAACCACAACAUCAUGAUGUUGUGGAACUGCGCGCCGCUGAGGAUCGGUAGCGGUGAUUCCACCUCCGCCGCUAGCCCAAUGAGAGAGAUGACUCCGUGUAAUAAUGCCGCAACGAUGCACUGACAUGUGGGGCCUGUCGUAUGCCACGUCAGCGAACCUAGGGUUAAAUUUGGUCUAUACUGCUUUAGGACCUUUUUUACACGGUUUGUAAUAGUUGAGGGGUAGGGAUUUCUGGUAUUGGGAAUUGGGAACCUCAGACAGACUAAGUGUAAAGUUCAGGGAUGUCAAGUGAACUUACAUGAAAAGGGAUGACGAAUUGCAUUGCCACGAAGCGGACGACACGGUGCGUGCGAUUCAUCAUCCUCGCUGCUCCAGUGCUUUGGGAGUCGCGCUCCAUCCUACAACAUCGGAGUGCUAAUCCGUGCGUGUUACCCGUGCAUGCGGUGAAAGACGCGAUACGAACGAUUCUUCAAUUUUUAUAAUAUACUCCCUAAUAAUAUUUACAACACACCAAAUUAGUUUCAUUAAAUCUAUAAUUGAAUGUAUUUUUAUAAUAUAUUUAUAUUGGGUUAAAAAUUUUAUUACAUUUUUCUACAAACUUAUCAAACUUGGAGCAGUUUGACAUUGACCAAAGUCAAAAGUAUAUAAACAUGUAAAGAUAAAGAUUACCCGUAUAUCGACAUCGUAUCGAAAUAAGAUGGCAUACCAAAUUUUGGCUAGAAAUAUCUUCAAUUUUUCUACUAGCAGAGAUUGGAUUGCCACGUUGGCGCUAAGUGUAUACCAUGCCAUGUAGGACCCAAACGUUCCGGAUUGAGUCCGGGGGUAAUUGUCUAGUAUCAAUAAUUUGAGGUUUAAAAUGUCCGGCUUUAUGGUUUAGGGGGUAAUUCAUACUUUUUCCUUAAACAAACUAUGAUAAUAUAUGCAACCUGUUUAUUUAAAAAGAACUUACUUUUUUUAAGUAGUACUAGUCAAAAUGGCAUCUGACCGUAUCAAACAUAAAAAUGCAUUUUUAGACGUAUUAAAAUACCAAUUCACGAAAAACAAAUACACUACUCUCUCCGGUUGAUAAUACUUGUCGUUUUGGACAAGGACACGGUCUUCAAAAAAUAACUUUGACCAUUAUUUUCUAUUAUAAUAUGUAUAAAAGUGUUGACAAAUAUAUGAUUUUAUUAAAGUACUUUUUAAGACUACUCUAUACAUGUAGUCAUCAUAUUUGAAAGCCAUAUAUUUUAAAAAUGAUUCAUAAUCAAAGAUUCUAAAACGACAAGUAUUAUCAGUCCGGAGGGAGUACUAUUAUCUCCGUUUCAUAUUAUAAGCCGUUUUGAUUUUUUUAGUUAAACUUAUUUAGCUUUGACUAAGUUUAUAAAAAAAUAUAGUAAUAUUUUUAAACACAAAAUAAAUAUAUUAUCAUUAAAUAUUGAUUUUAGUGAAACUAAUUUGAUGUUGUAGAUAUUGCUAAAUUUUUCUAUAAAUUUAAUUAAAUUUAAAGAAAAGUUUAACUAUAAAAAAGUGAAAGUGACAUAAUAUGAAAUAUGAGAGAGAGAGAGAGAGUAGGUACUUUUCGUGUAUUUUUAUUUCCACACGGGAUGUUCCGUGUGCGAGUUAAUUCAACUCUUCGGAAGACCACCCUCCCUCCCCUCACAAAUAGACACACACAUCCACGACUCCCCCGUGCGCACGGGCCCACCUGUCAGGAGACAACACGUGGGCCCACCCCACGCCAUUGAACCCUUCUAUUGGAUGCCCGGAAAAUACGUGCGCCCCACCAACUGACUCACAUCUUUCCCCCUCCCCCUCGCCCCCCGCAACGCACGUUCCUUUCCGACCGAUCCACCGAUCGGAAACCACGCCCUAACCCCAGCAAACCCCAACGCCCCCCUCCGCCCUGCCACCCUCCGCCGCCGCCGCCUUCGCCGGCGACCACCCCGCCGCCCUCCCCGGGGGGACCCAUCUCCUCCGCCGUCCCCUCGCCGCCUGCACCCCGGCGGUGCCUCGGCGUCCUGCUCUGCCGCCUCCUCGCCGGUGAGCGCCAUCCUCCUCCUUCCUCAUCCCUCUCGCGCGUUGCGUUAAGCCUCGUCUUCUCUGGGUAGAUCUGGAAGCUUUUCUCUUAGUUUGGCUUAGCCUUCUCUGGUAAUAAUGGCGAUUUGUUUGUUUUUUCCCCCAAAAAUAAGGGGUUCCAUGCCCCCACACCCGCGUUAGGUGCGCCGCUCGAUUAAAUGCUGUAAUUUCUGCAUCCUUUCUUGGUUGGAAUGGGUGCCCUAGGAAGGGUAAAUUUUGGUCAUGCCAAAUUUGAUGAUUCUACACCGAGAGAUGCGGAAUGCGCAUGUGGAUUGCACCUGUAUGGCUGUAUGCGAUUGAAAUGAGAGGAAUUGUGCAGCUCUCAAAAUGCUAUAGGCUAGAAAAAUCAUACCAUACCAUGCAUACAUUUGUUUUAAGACUACGUGAUUAGCGUGGAAUUGAGGGUGGCGGAUGUACUUGCUUACUCUGGGUGAAAUUGGUGUUGCUCAAUCGAAAUUCCACAUGUUGGCAUUAUGAUAUGCAUGCUACAUUGUUAUUUACAAUGUAAGAUGGAGACAUGGUCGUUAUUGAUACAUCGGGUUUGUUUUGAGAUCCUGGGCACCAUAAAAGCUUUUGCUAGCCAAUCCAUUUAGCACCAGAUGACCCAUGCUCUUUACUUACAAAAUUACUAUCACUGUGGGAGUCACCGGGUAAGCAUGACCUAUGGCCAUGGGUUUGGGGAAGGGAAAAAAAUUGUUUUGAAAUAUAUUUGAUGAUGGGCCUUACCUGUAUUUUGUCAAUCUCAAACUAGAAACUAACAUCUUAUUAGCCUGUAGCAUUAUCUUAAAGUAAUCCCCUGUAGAAUUCUAUAAAAUAUAACCUAGUGUGACGCUAGACAUAGGGCCUGUUCACUUUGAUGCCACUUUCAACCUUACCAAAUUUUGGUAAAGUUGCCAAAAAAGUGGCUACAUUUAGUUUGCUGUCAAAUUUUGGUAACUAUAUAAGAAAUCCUACCAAAAUUUUGGCAUAGUUGCCAAAAUUUUGGCAAUGCCCAAAUUUGGUAAGGUUUUUUUUGGCAUCAAAGUGAACAGGCCCAUAAUCAAUAUACGUUUUCUUAGAAUGCUCGUAAACUAUAUGGGAGAAACAGACUGGUUUCAAGGCCUAUUAGCACAUGUUAUGCAGUUUCUUUCGUAAAACUGGCCAUAUUUAUAAUUCAUUUACUGAACAUAUUACUACAAUCAUUUUCUGUAAUAAUUGUUUUGUAACUCCAUUAAAUCUUCUGUGGCAGUGUGCAUAAUACAUAUUCGGAAAGGCAAAUAUGGCUACAAAACUCCGUCAACCGUCAACUGAUGCAGAAAAAACAGAGGUUGGAGAAAUAGACACAAGGGCUCCUUUUGAAUCCGUCAAAGCUGCAGUAAGCUUAUUUGGGGAAGUUCGAUUUUCAUCUGACAAAUCAGCUGCAAGGAAGCCAAAGCCUCCUCAGGCAGAGGUAGGUACUUAUAUUAAACAUUUUUUUCAUAUUAGAUUAAUAAUAGUACUUCAAUGUGUGCAUGCAUAUAUCUUUAUGAAGGUUGAACAUACCGAUUUGUGUGGAAUGUUAUGCGUGCCUACUAUUACAUGGAAUACUUAUAAGUACAGCAAUGUUGCAGACCUUGAUGUUCUUAAGCCUUGUUGAUUCCAGAACUGCUAACUUCAAAUCUUACGCAACAAAAUGCUGUGACCUUCAAGUGUGUUAUACUGAUGCCAAUAUGCCAUAAUGUUGAUAACCAUUUUCAAAUGUCUAAGUAGUUUCAUGUAGCACUUAUUUGAAGCUAAGUAACACAGAUCUUGGAACGAUGCUGUGUUCCUCGUCCAGUGAACUUUGUCCCGAAACAAGGAACGGGAACAACACAAGAUGACGUACCGAACGUGGAUGGAUCACAUCCUAACAUAAGGAGGUAUGAGGAAGGCAAAUCUGAGAGGGGUUGGGUUUAGGGAUGGGGAAUGCACCAGGGUCACAGCCGCAACGGGCGAGCACUGUUAUUGCUCCCUCGCUGCUUGCUGCCAUCGCACCUGAGUGCAUGGAGGAACGCCACCGCUGUUGCGCUGAGGAGGACGGGGGAGUGCUGCUGCUGUUGUGCCGAAGGGGGUUGGGGGAGCGUUGUCGCCACUGACCUGAGGGAGGACAGGAAGCACCGCUGUAGUCGUGCUGCGGGGCUUGGGGAAGUGCGGUUGCCGCUGUCGCGCCGAGGGGCAUGGGGGAGUGCCAUCUCCAUCGUCGCUAUCACGCUGAGUGGCUGAGAACGAUGGGAUGGAUUCUUUCCAUCGAUGGGAUAAGACUGUGAGUGGAUAAGGGAUUCAUCUUAUUUCAUUUUUGCUCUUGGACUCUGAAUAUUAUGAACAGUUCUUUAUUGAAUUGAUUUCUUUCAUAUAAGCCAUAAAAUUUCAUAUAUAUUCAUUUAAGCUUAUUGUAUGCAUAACAAUGGAAUGCUCAUAUUUAUAAGCCCUUGGCUUCUAAUUUCUGAUAUUGUUCCGGACUAUCAUCCCGGAAACUAAUGGAACGCAUUCCAUACUUUGAACAAACGUUUUGAAGAGGUAUUUCCCCCUUCAUACCAUAUUUUUCAAAAUCCCUGUUCCGGGAUCUUUUUAUGACUUAGGUUUGAAGCCACGCCUUUGUUUUUUUUAAUGAAAUUUGUCAUAUCAGCAAACUAUUUCCUGCAUGUUCCAGUGAAUACCACAAGAUACUUGUUUUUUAUAUGCUCUAACUCUUUUCAUUUGCAUUUACUUUCCUGUUCAUUCCUAUUUCUUUUUUGCAAGAAAUAGGUGUGUUCCCACUGUUAGAAAUUUCAGGCUGUUCCCCAGCCUAUUUGCUGUCUUUAAUUAAACAGAUUAUUAUUAAAUUAAUGCACAUUCUCCAUUUAUGAGUCUUUUCACAGCAGAAAUUUGAUUUGCAUUUCUGAAAGAAUAGUAGUUUUGCCUUCUACUUUUACUUUGAUUAUUUGUCUUGGUAGUUGUUGUACCUGGUCCACAUCUGAUGAACUACACUUUAGAAGAGAGCAUAAUUGAGUGACUUGUUGGCAGAAACAGAGAAAGAAUUAGCGAUGAUUCACCAUAUGAUACUACUAGAAGUCUAAGUUUUUGUUUGUAUUUUUUUUUUGGGGGGGGGGGGGGUGUGGGGACUGACAUGCAUUCAUACCAUUAAAAAAGUUCAGUCCUGUAAGCUCAAGUUUUGCUGGAUUUAAUUUUCACCUUCGUUUUCGACUCCAAAUAGUGCCACUCCUGGAGAUUGGUUGUCCCAUGCUUCCUUCCAUGUGCCUAUUUGAAUAUUGCAUCAUAGUUGCCAUGGCCAUAAUCACAUAAACGCAAUGCAGAAACAUUAGUUCCAGCUUAAGACAGGAGUAUCAAAUUUGUUAUAUGGUAUAAGCUUUGAACGUAAACCCAGAUACAAAUCUUUCACUCACUGAAAAGUUAAAACAUCAGGUACUGGGUUUUUUCUGGAUUGGAAUUGUAUCAAGAUAGGACUAAUUUGAUCAAAGUAUCACCCCAGUCUCACUCCUACAAGUAGUGAUGUCCUUGAGCCAACUUAGGGGCCUGCGAGGCACCAUGAUACUGGGAUCUGACGUGCAAUCCUUUGCUCAUACCCAUUCAUUGUCUGUUGCCUUGGUCCACUGGUCUUCAUCUUCUCUGAGCCUGGCAUGGUUGCCAGUAUCUCCAAGACCUACUGUUGCCAUGGAAAUAGGGGCAGCGGUGAGCUGGUUAGACCGUUAGAGCAACAGUUUGGUAGAGGAAGGUGGCAGCUGCUGGUACUUGGGACUGUUAAUUGGAUGGAAAGGUGGCAGUGGCAUGAUGGUGGAAAGCACUGUUGCCUAUGACACUUGGUGUUUACGCAGCAGGCAAGCGAGCCAAUGUGUCCUAGAUGGUGCAUAGGCAAGCACAUUUUUAGGGAUUGCGGCAAGCAACAAUAGCAUGUUAUAGCAUAUCAGCUUCACAUGUGGACCCAGUCAGUGUUGAGUGUUGGGUGGACACCAAAAUCUGAUGUCAUCCAAACAAGCCUUAGUGUUUUACUUACUAAGAGUAUGUUUUAUUUGAUGAUAUAUAUAAUUUUUUUAUCAACAAUUACAUGCAUAUCAGGCGAAUCCCUGAAUCAUCUUUUUUUAGCUCAACUCAGACACUCAAAUCUGAGUUGGACUCUGACAUCAGUGUCCCAGUAAGACUGGACCCAGUUAGCAAUCUUAGGCUCUUAGUAAGUAAUAAUGGUGGUAGCGGCAAGUAGGCAGUUAGCCAUGCAGCAACAGCCAAGACCACCCAAGCAGCAGAAAAGAGAAAACAAAGAAGGCUAGGAGUGGGCUGCCUGGAAGAGAUGGUUUGGAGCUUGCAAGCGGUGGCUCUGUUUCAGGUGUUUUAAUGACAUUAGUGGUGACAUCACUAGUUUCAGUAUGGCAGUCGAAUUAGCACUGAAUCAUGUCUUAGUGAACUAUACACACAUCUUUUGUGACUUACAUGAUUGGCUGAUUUGUAGGUCACUUCAGCAUAGCUAAGCUUACUAGGACACCAUGUAACUGAAAACAAGCCAAAAAACUAUAGCGGUUUUGGGCGAGUGGGUGAUUCUUCUGCUUUUAUGGUUGAAAGGUGCCUAAUGGUUUGUUUGUGAUUGGGAUUUCAUUUGUAGACCUAGGCAAUAGUUUUUUUCUUUAGGUGAGAGUGAGUCCCAUGGUCACGACAGGGAGUCCACAGAAGCACCUCUCACAUAUGUGUAUCUAGUACAUGUGGGAGGAUGCUUUGUUAAGCUUAAAUUUUAUUUGAUUUGUUUUGGAUUGGCAUGGUCAACAUAACAAAAGAACAGUUAGAGACAGUGAUUGAAAAUUUUUUUUGGAUGUUGUAAAUGUACAUGCGCAGAUAGUUCACAAUGCCUAAUGUUGGGAUGCUGUCUAAUAUAGAUCAACUAAAAUUGUCAACUGCCUCCAUCAUCCAGACAUGUAGUAUCUCAGGAUCUUUCUUAGUUGUUUUUACUUUUUCCAAUUUUAUAGUUUUUUAAUGCGAUUGUAUUAUCUUUUGAGGAUGCAUUUUUGUGCUUAUAUUUAACAUGUUUUUUCAUGCAUUUAAAUUUCUUCAUUUUAAUCGCAUGGACCUCAUAUUUUUACAUCAUAGAGUAUAACUGUAUAAGUAAUAACUGAACACUCAUAUGGUUUAACUGAGUCUAUAACUUCAUUAUCCAUGGAAUGGCAUUUCACUUUAUCUAUUUUGUAUUUGGUUAUCCAAAUAUACUCUGAUGCUUGCAAUAUCAAAAUCCUAUCCUGUGGCAGAGGGUGUUAGCUAAGGAGACAGAACUGCACUUGGCCCAGAAAGAGUUAAAUAAAUACAAGGAUCAGCUCAACAAUGCUGAGACAACCAGAGUGCAAGCGUUAUCUGAGCUGGAGAAAGCUAAGAAAACUGUUGAGGACCUGACCAAUAAGCUGGAUGCUAUCAACAAGUCCAAAGAGCUGGCUAUUCAAGCAACAGAGGAUGCAAAAACUCGAACAAAGCAGCUUGAAGGUGGAGACUCGCUUGAGGCUGUUGGAAAAGAUGGCCCUUUAAAGCAGGAAUUGGAUGUUGCAAGGGAACAGUAUGUUGUUGCUUUGGCAGAUCUUGAUGCAGCAAAACAGGAGCUUAGAAAGCUCAAGAAGGAUUUUGAAGCUUCAUUGGAUAUGAGGUUGGCUGCAGCACAGCAGGAAGAGGAAUCAUUGCACUUAGCUGAAACAAACAAGCAAAAGGCUGAUCAGCUUCGCAAGGAGAUUGCUACAAUUCAAGAGUCUCUUACGCAUGUGAAGGCAGCCACUGAACAAGCACAUGAAGAAGAGGCUCAAAUCCUUGCUGAGAAAGAUGUUACUAGGAAAACAUACAAACAAGCUUUGGAAGAAGCCGAGAAGAAAUUAUCCUCUUUGAAAAAGGAUUUUGAUCCUGCUGUUUAUAAAAGCCUCAAAGAAAAGCUAGAUGAGACCAAUUUGGAGAUUUCAUCUAUGCAGAAAAAGAUUGAAGAUGCUCGAGCUCAAGAUUUGGAGUCUAUUGCUACUGUCAGCACAGAGUUGGAUGAUGCUAAGGAAAUGUUACAGAAAGUGGCAGAGGAGGAAAGUUCUCUUCGGAGUUUAGUAGAAUCACUUAAACAAGAGUUAGAAGCUGUUAAGGAGGAGCAUGAUCAAUUGAAACAGAAGGAUACAGAAACUGAAUCCAUAGUUGGAGACCUACAUGUGAAGCUUCAGAAAUGCAAAUCUGAGCUUGAGGCAGCCGUAGCUGCUGAAUCAAAAGCAACGUCAGCUUCUGAUGACUUGAUGUUGGCCCUCCAACAGUUGUCUUCCGAGUCAAAAAAUGCCCUGCAGGAAGCUGAAGUAAUGCAAAAGAGUGCUGCAGAUUUAAGGGAUGAAGCUGAAGCUGCACGAGUAGCAUUAGCAGAAGCUGAACAAAAGUUGCAAUCUGCUUUAAAAGAAGCAGAAGAGGCAAAAUCAGCUGAAGCAAAGGCCCUUGAUCAGAUCAAGCAACUAUCAGAAAGAGCAAGCGCUGCUCGGGCCUCAACAUCUGAAUCAGGUGCGAAGAUAACAAUAUCAAAAGAAGAGUUUGAAUCUCUUAGCCGAAAGGUGGAGGAGUCAGAGAAAUUGAGUGAGAUGAAAGUUGCUGCCGCUAUGGCUCAAGUGGAGGCUGUCAGAGCCAGUGAGAAUGAGGCGAUUAAGAAAUUGGAGGCGGCUCGGAAAGAGAUGGAAGACAUGGAAUUGGCAACAGAGGAAGCACUAAAGAGGGCAGAGAUGGCUGAAGCAGCAAAGAGAGCUGUAGAAGGUGAGCUCAGGAGGUGGCGCGAGAAGGAGCAGAAGAAAGCUGCUGAAGCUCAGCCUGCUCCAGAAGCGCAAGCACAUGGAACUGCAUCUUCCCCUGUACAGAAAGCUUCUGCUGGAAAAGCCAAUGAGAAGAAUGAUGGACCUCACAAGAACAGCAGAACACUAUUGAAAAAGAGCUUUAUGCUACCAAAUAUUACAAGCAUGUUCCAUAAGAAGAAGAAUCAUGCCGACGGCAGUUCUCCUUCACAUCUUCCUGGGGACAAAUCUGUAUAAUCUAUCUGAAGCUCACGUCUGAAUGAUGUGAUUCCAAACUUGGAAUCAUGGCUUUAUGUAUGAUAUUAUAUUUGUAGUUGCUUGUAAUAUAUAAUGUUAUCCUGGUCUAUAUCUAUGACUUGCCUGUUCCUGACUAUUUGGGCUCCUGUGAUAAGUUUUUUUCUUUUUUGUACCUCUGAAAUUCGCUGUGGUUAUAUUGAUCUGAGCAGUUUGUCUGCUAUCAACAGAAAUAACCACGUUUUAUUCAUGUCGUGCAUUACUUUCAGAUAUAAUGCAACGUUGAAGUGUUAAAUUCUGGAUUAUUGAAUUGUGAUUUAUAGACUGUCACAGUUGCCAAUGAACAUGAAGAUCUAGAUGUGUUUUGCUGGAGUAUCAUAUAUUCAUCUUUGAAGAUUAGAAAGUGUUGCCUCAUCAUUGGCAUAAUCAUGUGAUCUUAGGGGCUACCUUGAAUUUUAUUUGGGAGGUAAUUUCCCCAAUUAAAUUAUCUUUAGUUUCAUUUUGGGGAUAGUUUCUACAGUUAAAUUCAUAUCCAAUAUGUAGUUCAGUAUUGUCUAAUUCAGCCAUACAUCACAUUAGUAGUAAUUUAAUUGGUAACAUCAUAUCUCAGCAGCACAGAAUACACAAAUGUUGUGAGAGCCUGUCAGGUGAGGUGCCCAUACAAGUACACACAACGUGUUUUCUAUAUGCAUGUGAAAAUUGCAAAACUAAAGAAUGCUAAUGUCAAUAUACUUCUUUUAUUUACAAGACGUGCAAAAAUAAAAUGCUAGGAUACAUGUAGGCGCAAGGUGGGAGGAACCUGGCAAGGUCGCUGCUUUCCGAUGAUUUUGUCCUGCAUCAUUCAUCUCACAUAACCAAAUGGUCUGUUUCGUGAGAAUUCCACAGGAUCAUUUUGUAAGAAAAUAAUGUCAUUUUCCCUUAUUUUCCAUUGGCAAUCCACUGAUCCAAACAGGGCCCAAAACCUUAAAAAGUUUGCCUUUUUGGGGAGCUACUGUAAGCUCACAAAGGAGGUUCUGUAUCCGAUUGUGAAAUAAGUAAAGCUGCCUAAUCAAUCCUUUCUAGAUUAUAUUUCACCAUGUUCUCAAGAGUGCUUCUGAACUCACUCCUUGGAAGACACUGCAGACUUUGGAUAGCUAUUUCACCCUUCUCUCUUGCAAGCUCAUGAGCCCUCUUUAUUCCACCACUUCUAUGAACUAGCUCUAUUGCAGUAGCCAAGGAAUUUGUUUCACUGAACUCGGAAUCAAUGAUCUCCCUGAGCUGUGGUUCAUCUUGCAAAGCGAAAAUGACCGGGGCUGUUAGAUUACCCUUUGCCAGGUCACUUCCUGCAGGUUUCCCAAGUUGUUCAGCUGAUUGGGUGAAGUCAAGAAUGUCAUCGACUACCUGGAAGGAGAGACCGAGAUUCCUUCCGUAUUCAUACAUUUGUUCACAUAUAGCAGUGCUGACACCACUAAAUAUGGCAGCUGACCUUGUGCUUGCUGCAAUCAGAGAAGCAGUCUUGUAGUAGCUCUUGAGCAGGUAAUCAUCAAGGGUGAUGUCACAGUCAAAAAGUGUUGAUGCUUGUUUUAUUUCACCACUGGCAAAAUCCUUGAUUACCUGUUAAAGAAGCACCUUUCUGGAUGCAAAUCAUGCAUAGUUUUAAAUAAGGCACAAAAACUUGCUCAAACUCUUCAUUACCUGACUGAUGAGCUUUAUAACUUCAAUAUUUUCAAGGUUUGCAAGAAACCAAGAAGAUUGUGCAAACAUAAAAUCACCAGCAAGUACAGCCACCCGUGUUCCAUAUAGCUGAUGAAUAGUUUCCUUCCCUAAAAAUAAUAAAUGUACCUCAGAUUAAACAGGUAAAUUUCUUGAGUCCCCUAUUUCACAAUGACAAUAGAAAGGAGUUAAGUAAAAUCAAACAGGAUUGCCAUAUAAAUAACGAAAACAAAUAACAAAACAGUUUCGUUUUUUUCUUUUAGAGCGAAACAGAACAGUUUCUGUAAUGCAACGACAGCAUUUUUUGUUUUCAAACUAGAUGAAUGCAUGGAGGCAAAAUUCAGACAAUGUAUUUCUAAGAAUAUGCAGGAGAGUAUUCUAAGAAGAAUAAACGGUAGGCACAUGUGUCACAAAAAUGAAAUAACAAAGAUCGGUUUUUGUUGACAGUUCUGUUGGCUAAGAGAGAAUGGUUAUUACUGCCAGUACUGCUGGCCUUCCAUAAAAACAACAUAAUACGUACCUCUUCGCAUCCCACUAUCAUCUAUGACGUCGUCAUGUAUUAAACUUGCAGUGUGGAUCAUCUCUAUGAUCUCUGCCAAACGUUGGUGUUCUGUAGUUAGUUCCCUGUAAUCCAAAAAUCAAAGAUCUUGAGGGAAUAAUUUUAAAAGACUAAAGUAUAUGAUAGGUGUCUAAACUUGUGUGGUGUCACCUAGGUGCUUGAACUUGAGAACUGCACAUUCAUGUCCUGGGAUUUGUAUAAAUGGGUUAACAAAGUACCAUAUGCCAUUUUAUGGUAAUUAGAAAUGACAUGUGACACCCUUAGUCCAAAUCAUAGUUUUGUUUUCCAAUUGAAAUCAAUAGAUAUUAAUAUUUUGCAAUUCGAAGGAAAAUUUCACACGUCACUAAGAUUUUUAUUUACUUUGGUAGAAAUUCUUUAGUCAAACUUGAUUUAGCAGGGUUAAAGUGCUGCCUGAACAUUGGUAACUUAUUAAGUUUGGGUUGGAUAGAAGCCAAUUUGCAUUUCUGUAAUUCGGUGACUUAAAUAACACACAUGUUAUGGUUUAGGGACCUAUGAGAUAGUGCACUCUAUUCCAAACUGUCACACCCUGAUUUUCGUUUCAGGAUUUAUAAAUUAUUUAAUAAAUUAUUAAUAGAAUUUAUAUUAAAUGUUCAUUAAUUUACAAGUGAAGUUAAAUGUGGAAAAUAAAAUUUCCUAAAUACAAAGCAUGGAUGGAUUUAAUUUUUAUUAAAUUCUCCAUGGUUAAUUAUACUCUCUGGAAUUUUCUCGGAUUUUUCGGAGCUCAAUUGUUAAUUUUAAUCAUACAAAGAGAAGUUCAGCAAUUAUUUAAAUAUUAAAAUAAUCAUUAAAUGAUCUAAUUAUAAUUUUUAAGAGUUUUUCUUGUUUAAAAAUCCUUAAAUUAUAAAUUGUUGUUUAAAAGGAAUUAUUAGAAAUAAUUUUAAAAGUUUAAAAGAGAAGAUCUUUUUUUUAAUUUGCUAAAUCUCAAUAUAAAAUUGAACUAGAUAAAAUUUUAUUAAAUACUAUGCUUGCUCCUCUAUUUUCUAGAUUUUUCUGGGAAUUAUUUGAGCAAGGGAAGUAUUUUUAAUAAAUGAAACAUCAUUUCACGAAUUAUUUUAAUUGAAAAAGUUUUAAAAAUCCCUUCCUAAGCCGUUGGGCCGUUUUCGGCCCAACUCUUCUCUUCCCCGCGCGGCCGAACCGGCCCAAGCCGGCCCAGCCGACGCCGCCCGCCCUCUCCUCCCCUCAGCCGCCGACAGGUGGGACCCACCUGUCGGGUGUGUCUUCCACCUCCGGCCGAGCCCAAGCCGGCCGAGAUGCCGAGCCCGAGCCGCCUUCUUCUCCUCUCAAAUCUGCUCCAAUCCGACUCUUUUUCUUCGGGAUUUUUGAGGGGAUUUUAUCCUCACAUACUCCUCUAUCUUUUCCCUCAAGAAUCGGAGCAAAUGGUUGAGUAUCUUGCCCGAAUCAAAUUCGUUUUCGAGUUUAUCUCCAAAACCGAGUUUUGAUUAUCUUGGAUCGAUUCCUCUCGUUUGGAGUCCGAUCUCUCUAAUCCAAUGCUAUAAAUAGCAUCCCCUAGUCGUCCUCUACCGUUUGCCCCAAGUCCCGAGCUCUCUCGUCGCCCGUAGCGUUGCCGCCACGUUGCCCUAGCCGCUGCCGUCGCCGGCGACCUUCCAGCCGCGUCGCGCCGCCACGGUAGUCGUCGCCGUUGCCAUCCGUCGCCGCCGUUAGGUGCGCAAGGAGGUGAGGAACCUCGGCCGCCCGUCCCCCUUCGCUGCCGACCACCGGAGUUCGCCGUCGCCGUCCAACCCGAGCCGCCGCCGCCUCUUGCGUCGUCGCCGGCCGUCGUCGGUUGUCGUUGGGCGCUUUGGUGAGUACCAUCGGGUUCGUCUCGAUGCCCUCUACGCGUAGGUGCCCUCCUUUUCCCCGGCCAAGGCCCCUAUCUCCGGCGAGCUUGCUAACCCUAAUCGGCCGAUCGUGGGUGACGUCAUGCUGACGUCAUCGUCCCUUUUUCCUUUUCCUUUUUUCUUUUUUUUCUAAUAGUUUAAAUCUUUGGAAAAUCAUAACUAAAUAACCGUAGAUCCGUUUUAGGUGGUUCAAGUUGCCAAAUUUUUCUAAAAUAAAGAUCUACAUAUUAAAAUUGUCCAUAAAUUGAAUUAAAUUUAUUUAGUUUUUUUUAAAUGGGCUUUAAUUAGAUUUGAUCUUGUAAAAUUCAUAAUAAAUUCAUUUGAAGUCAGAAUGAGGCCGUUCAAGUCUCAUAAUUCAUCUAAAAUUAUGAUCUACAUGUUUGUUUACUUUUUAUGUACUGUUUAUUUGGUUUUUAUUAGUCUUUUUCUUCGUUUUGCGUGUUAGCUUGUCGUUUCCGUCGUUGCGAAGGUUCGUGAGUGCGUCGGAAGUGAUCAAGAAGAUUAAUUGAAGACUGAUUAUUGCAAGGCAAGUCACACAGAUCCUAAACACAAUCCUUUGAGCAUGUUGAUCCUAUAUUUAAAUUCUCUAUUUAUUUCAACUGUGCAUUUAUUUUCGAAUGUCAUCGGGUGGUGUGAACCUAUUCCUUUGUUAUGGCCAAUUUGCAUUGAAUGCCCUAUUCCUUGAUACCUUGGGUAAUAAAUUGAUUAGCUUGAACCUUAUAUAUUGGAUUGGUUCAGCUAAAUGCUAUAUGUAAGUUUGCUUAGCUAUGCUUAGAAACAUUAGCCUAACUAAAGGGAUUAAUUAUAAACUAUGUUACAUUAUUCUUAUUAAUUAUGGUUACAUUUAAUGGUAGCUCACGAUGGUUAAUCGUGUGAUGAUAAUUAAUUGAUAAUUAAAACCUGGUUAAGGUGGGUUGUGAGCAUAUGGUUUUGAUGGUUGUGCUCAUGACAAUUAAGGACCGGUUCGCGAGCUACUGUUGUGAAACAUUUUCCGUGCCAACCACAAGCCAGCG
rnacentral:lncRNA from 1 species